rnacentral:rRNA from 1 species
ACGAAGGGGGCUAGCGUUGUUCGGAAUUACUGGGCGUAAAGCGCACGUAGGCGGAUUUGUUAGUCAGGGGUGAAAUCCCGGGGCUUAACCUCGGAAUUGCCUUUGAUACUGCAAGUCUUGAGUCCGGAAGAGGUGAGUGGAAUUCCUAGUGUAGAGGUGAAAUUCGUAGAUAUUAGGAAGAACACCAGUGGCGAAGGCGGCUCACUGGUCCGGUACUGACGCUGAGGUGCGAAAGCGUGGGGAGCAAACAGGA